GGUGGUGGAAAAGCUGUUUUCCAAAUUCUUAUUCAUUUUCUAACAUAUUUACUGAUUUCUCAGCAAGUGAUAUCAGAAAUUUUUCUAAGAUUGUGUUUCUCGAACUGUUCCACACAGACAUGCACACAGGUAGGCCUGUUCGGGGCACCCUUGGUGCUACUCAUCAUGAUAGAUGAGGGCACUCUACCAUCCCGGACAGCAUUCUCCUUGGCAGUAAGAGGAGUCUCUAACUCCACAGAGAGUCAUAUCCUGUGAACACGCACACUGUAAGGCCGUGGUUAUGUGGGACAGUCAGCCCUGCCAGCCGCAGUGAGCGUGGGUAUCGACCAGCCACGGGGAAGAUCGGUGAGAUGCAAGGCGGAGAGAGCAGGCUUCGGGAUGGUGAUGAAUCUGAAUUUUCUCUCAUAUGAAAUACAACCUAAGCCUUGGAUCAUUUGAUGAAGCAAAAGCAAACAUCAUAUAACACAUCAACAAGACAGGGAAUGACCAAAUUACAAAGCUGAUGUUUAAAUAAGGCUGCAAAUUUUACUUUUUUCCUCUGGUUUAUAAAAAUGUUUAAAUAAAAGUCUCAAGGCCAAGGUACAAAAAUCACAGCCUACUGUCUUAAAAUGCACAGACUAUGCAUUCUAGUUAGAGAAAGUUUAGUGGAUGGGAGAGAAUCUAGAUUGAAAAUGGCCAGACAGGAGACAGAACAUGGCUCUCUAACAUGUAUGAUCCUACUUCUGAAAGACUACAGUCACCACCUCUUGCCUCCUUAAAUUCCAUUCUGAAAAAAUGACUCAUUUCAACCAUGGUAUCAUCAUUAAUUAUCUAUCUUUUCACCCCCCAAAACAGCAUCUCACAGAAAACCUGCCAAGUUAAAGAGAGACUGCAAAAGAUACUUUCUUCAUCCUCAAAGGAGAAGAUAAAAAUGUAACUAAAAGUAUUAUUUAUCCUUAAUCAAACUACAUACAAACAGGAUGCCUGGAAAAAAACAUCAUAUAGUACACUGCCCCUUUGCCACAGACAUCAGGAGAUCUGGGAGCUGAGGAAGAGGAGCAACAUUACGUAAAAAGGUCAACAGUAUCAUCGUAUUUACCAUGGAUCCAGUCUGUGCUCAGUACAGACGGACCCAACUGCAACUCCACAAGUAAGUGGACUGUUUCCCUCCUGACCUAGGGAACUGUCCCCCGGUACACUGUCAUUGCAGAAACAGAGAAAACACAUCUGUUAAAUAUGAGCUUUAGUGGAAAAAAUUCAGCUGGCAUUCUCUUUUCCUCUCUGUCGUCUUGUUUUAAUAGCACUCUUAUGUAAGUUCUUUACUAUAUAUAGUUGAGAGUGGGGAGCUGUGAUUUGACCUGUUCAGAGGCCGUCAGACUUGGGCCAUUUCCUUCCACCUCGUGCCCAAAGGCAGCUGUUCUUGAGGUCCAGCGGGAGCGGCCAGGAUGCAGAAACCCAUGUUGCUUUAGACCCUGACACUGUCGUGUUGCGGCCUCUUCUUGGAGCUUCGGCCGCCCCACCUAUACAACUGGCACCAUGCCCAUUUCUGACCUAACUCGCUGGGGUUGCCUGUGGAACCUCAAGAGAACAUCUGGGAAACAUUUUUUUGGCAUAGUCAAAAUGUGUAUUUUUUCCCCUGUAUGUCCAUCCAAGAUUUAUGCAAGAGCUAGAAUUCUAACUUUUCAGUCUAAGGGUCCUGGACCAUCCUACCAUCCUACCAACCUGCCCAAGCAAGAUAACAGUUGGUUUAUUUAUGGUCUGUUUCCUCUACUGGGCUGCAAUCUCCCUGAGGGCAGGGUCCCCAUCUAUUAUAUUCCCCAGUGUAUUUUCUAAAGCUUGGCACACAGUCCAUGAAUGAAUCCAAGAAUCAAUGAACAGGAAGAGGAGGUGAUCUCUAACAUUUACUGAAUACUUCAUAAACGCCAGGCACUGUCCUGUUUUAUAUGUAUGCUUCCCCUCUCUCUCUCAUAUGCAUGUGUUUUCUCUCUAGUUCCCACUAGCUGUAUGAUCUCAGACAACUUAAGCUUUCUGUACCUCAGUUUUCUCAUCCACGGGA